UUCGGCGUCACUGAGGCCCGCUAACAGGCCUUCAGUUAUGUUGGCGAUUUAAGUGAUUUAAUUCAAUGGUUAAAGUGUCGAAAAUCAAGUUUUCUUUUCGUCCACUGCUUCACUGUCGAGCGAACAUUCUCGACCUAAAGCUGGUUAAACUCUCAUGCAUGUAUACGGCUGGACAAACAGGACUUUCGGCAUUAGCUCAUUAGCAUAGCUGGAGAUGGACUUGACGUUGGAACGGCAACGGAUAAUUUGUACAACAGAUUCAUUAAAGUCUUCUUAAGGAGAGCCAGGAGGAUGGAUUUGGUGUACAAAUAACCAGGAGUGUCGACAGGACGCCACUUAAGGCCCAAGAGGAGAGCCGAACUUUGUAUAUCGUGGAAAAAAGAAGAUAAGCUUCAGUUCCCAGUGCUACAUUACAGUUCGAACACAAGAUGGCAGCAUUGAACCAACAGAAGAAAUUCCUCAGCGCUUUGUCCCUGAAAGAGUAGGCCUCGCUCUUACUGCGUCUGGAGGGUGGAACUCACAGAGUCGAUGGGUUUGACAUUAAAGCACCAAAGCUGCAGGAGGAGUGGCCUACGACUAAUUGAGUGAUACAAUUGGUGUUCAGACAUGUCUUACCUCAUCAUCCAACCGGUGUUUCUCAGACUAUCACCUGCUCCAGGAGACGUGACACACUGCCUGGGGAAGAGAUUUACCGGGUCUACAUUUCAGUCGCUGUGAUUUCAUGUUGGCUGGGAACGGCGAGCAGACGGCGGUCAUGAAGCUAACGCUAGACAUGUUGACGAGGCCGGGAAGAAACCAGGGUCUUUAGAUUCUCAUCUCAAACGUGAUAAACUAAGAAACCAGCAGUGUCGCCCCCUAGUGACAGAAACGGAAGUCGGGUCUACAAACCACAGCGGCUGUUCGUACAGGAUCAUGAUUGGAGUACAAGUGGCAUCAGGGGGCGACAGAGGAAUGACGGCACCGUGACUCUGCCUCUAAUCUCCAGCUCUGUUUGUCUUCUGUCCAUUUAGUCCAUCCAGUUGAUGAAAGUCAUCCGUGACUCACCGCGGCUCACAGAUACGGGCUGAGUGCUCAGGUAUGUGGCGUCUACAUCGACCCUCAUCUCUUGGUCCCGGUCCUUUACUGUCAUAACAUGCAGGCUCUUAUCUCACUGGUGGUCUCUGCUCCGUCUAAUCCAAUAAAAACCCUUGGAUUUCCAGUCGUUAGCGGCUGACAGCUGUUAGCUGCACGCACCGACAAACGGAAUCGUUUCAAAUCGCCUCGUGUGCUUCUGUUCUGAUCACAGUGAUCAGGACGUCCGCUAGGUUAAACAUUCACCAUUCUGAAACAGAUCCACUAGGGGGCAGUGGUGCAACAAAAUAUUAGAUUUCCCUUUGGAGACCAAAGAAGUCACAAAGGUGUUAGCAUGGUUAGCUUGGUAUAGCCUUGGUGAAGAUUCAUCCUCAGAAGAAAAUAAUCUACACAAACAGGAUACACACUGGAGCUGUGCUAACAUGCUACGACUGUAUUUUGUGCUGGAAUGCUGCUAAAAAAAUUGCUAAAUAUUUAAUGUUGCCAAAUUAAAUGUCUUCUUUCUGUCUUGUAGAAAGAAAAUUUACAGAGUUUGAUUUGGGUAAACGGGUUUACCACUUCAUUUCUACUAUGAAACCGAACUUUCAAACGUGUACUUAGCACCUCCUACAGGCCAGAGAAGGAGAGCUACAUGUGCUAUGCUUGCUAAAAAUAAUGUGUUAGAUUUUGUCAUAUCUCACCUAGACCUUGUAGGAGGAGGUGAUGUGGAGGAAUCUGUGUCUCCUGACGGUCUGCCUCACUGACUGACUCAGUUUCUGGGUUCUGGAAAGUUCAGUGUUAAAGCUGCAUGUAUUUCUGCACCUCCUCCUCUCGCUCCUCUCCUCUCUCCUCCAGACGAGUUCAACUGACCGUGGUACGGAGGUAACAGGACUCCAGGGAGGAUUUAGGAGUUAAAAUAAGUGAAGUUUCAGAUUUUUGGCAGUUGGACUCAGUUCAGACUGCAGUUCACGGCAGCACAGACAGGGCGUCACGGCAUCAGGCCCAGUCUGUCCUCUGAAUGUUUUCUGAUUGACAUGAUUUCAUUUUCAAAUGAAAGGUUUUUUUUUUCACACUUUCAGUGAAAAACCCCAUAAACAACGUCACCAACGUCAGGACCAGAGGGCCGUGACCUUCAGAGAAGUUUGAAGGUUCCAUUAUCUUUCCCCGCGAGCGCUAACAAUCCGGAUGUUUUUUAUCUCCUUUGAAACCACCGAAGAAAAAAGUUAAUAAUGAAAGGUCUAGUCACACUUCUCUGGUAAUGACUAACUCCUUGUUUUCCACUCCAGAAAAUGCCCCCGGAGGGUAAGUUUCCUCAACCUUAGACCAGAAUCCACCCACGUGCAGGAACAUGAAGCAACUUGUCUUCAUCUCUGAUGAAUCAUCUGCUGCUGCUGCGUCCAUGAGCCCAUGUCUGAGUCUCUCAAACCAGGAGCAAAAGUCCUCAAGUUCUUUUCAUCACAACUGCACC